rnacentral:rRNA from 1 species
CGGGAAGAGCUCAAAUUUGAAAUCUGGUGGCCUCAGGUCAUCCGAGUUGUAAUCUAUAGAAGUGUUUUCCGUGCUGGCUCAUGUACAAGUCCCUUGGAACAGGGCGUCAUAGAGGGUGAGAAUCCCGUCCUUGACAUGAACUACCAGUGCUCUGUGAUACAUUUUCAACGAGUCGAGUUGUUUGGGAAUGCAGCUCAAAAUGGGUGGUAAAUUCCAUCUAAAGCUAAAUAUUGGCGAGAGACCGAUAGCGAACAAGUACCGUGAGGGAAAGAUGAAAAGCACUUUGGAAAGAGAGUUAAACAGUAUGUGAAAUUGUUGAAAGGGAAACGAUUGAAGUCAGUCGUGCUCUUUGGAUUCAGCCGGUUCUGCCGGUGUACUUCCUUUGAGUGGGGUCAACAUCAGUUUUGAUCGCUGGAUAAAGGCUGGAGGAACGUAGUACCCUCGGGUAAACUUAUAGCCUCCUGUCACAUACAGUGGUUGGGACUGAGGAACGCAGCACGCCUUUAUGGCCGGGAUUCGUCCACGUACGUGCUUAGGAUGUUGACAUAAUGGCUUUAAACGACCCGUCUU